GACAGAGGGUGCAAACGUUGCUCGGAAUCACUGGGCGUAAAGGGCGCGUAGGCGGGUUCUCAAGUCAGGGGUGAAAUCCCAGGGCUCAACCCUGGAACUGCCUUUGAUACUGGGAGCCUGGAGUUCGGGAGAGGUGAGUGGAACUGCGAGUGUAGAGGUGAAAUUCGUAGAUAUUCGCAAGAACACCAGUGGCGAAGGCGGCUCACUGGCCCGGUACUGACGCUGAGGUGCGAAAGCGUGGGGAGCAAACAGG
rnacentral:rRNA from 1 species